GUCAUUGGUUAAAUUGUUUUUCUCCUUUGAACAAAGUUUGACCCAUAUGGUAGGCAAAGCAGAAGAAAUGAAAGCAAAACAGCAAAAAGAAAAACAAGUGCACUGCCCCUACUCACUUAGCAGUUGAACAGUUAAAAGACCUCUGGGCUAAUAAACUGAAACUUCAACCUUACUGUAGAUAUGCCAGGGUACUCCGUGGCCACCUGUGUCCCCUGAGAAGUUGGACGUCCUUGUUCCUUUUCCAGGCUUUGGAAGGUCAGUCCUCCACAGUGAUCUGCAGCAGAUUGCCUUGCUGUUUGGCACCUCACAUGGGGCACCAUUGUCACAGCAACAGUGGGGUGCUGUAGUUUGGAUCUUAAAUGCCCCCCAAAGGACUGUUUGUCAGGAUGGUACUAACGGAAGAUGGUGGAAACCCUUAGAGGUGAGGCUUGGAGGAGACAGGGUGGGACCUACCCUUGGAAAGGAUGUGGGACACUGAUCUCCCUCUCUCUUCUCCUAACAGACAUGAGGUGAAUGAGCCUCCUCCGCCACAUGCUUCUGCCAUGAUGUGCUGGCCACAGGGCCAAAACAAUGAGUUACAGUUAUGGAAAGCUGACCAGUUUGGGAGAGAUGGUAGAAGUGGCUUACUUCAUUUUCCCUACAAUUGGAGCUCCACUGUUCAGAGAUCAACAUUGCUAAUAUAGUGAGUGGUACCUUGGUUCAUGAACUAUUCAUUCCAUGAUUCUGGAAAAGAUGGCUACGUUGGUGUUCAUUUGGGAAAGAUGGCCAUGGUUGUGUUUGUCACUUAUUGUAGAGUUACCUAAUAAAAACAAAAUUUUGCCAAAUGCUUUUGUUUCUGAACCAAAUUGUUCCCAAACAAAAGCAUUCGCAAACUGAGGUACCACUGUAUUUUGAUGACAUUUCUUCCAGUAAGUAUAUUUUUUUAAUGAAUACAUGUACACAAUUGGAAUCUACAUAUAGUUUAAUAGAUAGCUUUUUUCAGUAUCACUGUGAGAGCUUCCCAAAUAUCAAAAUAGGAAGUAAAAUAUUUUAAAUUUGAUUGCAAAGUGUUAUAUAUUAUUAAAAUGUUGGAAAAAGAAAAUCAUAAACAAUAAAAUACACAGUCCUACCACCCAGAAAUCACAUUUUUGUGUAUACCUUCUAA
rnacentral:lncRNA from 1 species